rnacentral:rRNA from 1 species
GAUGAACGCUAGCGGCAGGCUUAACACAUGCAAGUCGAACGGUAACAGGAUUAGCUUGCUAAUCGCUGACGAGUGGCGCACGGGUGCGUAACGCGUAUACAACUUGCCUCUAACAAAGGAAUAGCCCAUGGAAACGUGGAUUAAUACCUUAUAAUAUUUAGACAUGGCAUCAUGAUUAAAUCAAAGAUUUAUCGGUUAGAGAGAGGUAUGCGUGACAUUAGCUAGUUGGUGAGGUAACGGCUUACCAAGGCAACGAUGUCUAGGGGUUCUGAGAGGAUGAUCCCCCACACUGGUACUGAGACACGGACCAGACUCC